ACCUUGUUGCUUCGGCGAGCCUGCCUUUUGGCUGCCGGGGGACGUCAGUCCCCGGGUCCGUGCUCGCCGGAGACACCUUAGAACUCUGUCUGAAGAUUGUAGUCUGAGAUUAAAUAUAAAUUAUUUAAAACUUUCAACAACGGAUCUCUUGGUUCCGGCAUCGAUGAAGAACGCAGCGAAAUGCGAUACGUAAUGUGAAUUGCAGAAUUCAGUGAAUCAUCGAGUCUUUGAACGCACAUUGCGCCCUCUGGUAUUCCGGAGGGCAUGCCUGUCCGAGCGUCAUUGCUGCCCUCAAGCACGGCUUGUGUGUUGGGCCCCGUCCUCCUUCCGGGGGACGGGUCCGAAAGGCAGCGGCGGCACCGCGUCCGGUCCUCAAGCGUAUGGGGCUUUGUCACUCGCUUUGUAGGCCUGGCCGGCGCUUGCCGAUCAACCAAACUUUUUAUCAGGUUGACCUCGGAUCAGGUAGGGAUACCCGCUGAACUUAAGCAUA
rnacentral:rRNA from 1 species